UGCGCCUCUGGGUUUAGAUACUCUGUGAUUUGGUCUAUAAAACAGGUUGUCAGACACCAGUCCACAUCUGGGUAGAGAAACAUCCUAUACAUUCUGAAGUAUGUGUUGUAUUUGGCUUCUAUUUUGAACAUCUAAUGGUGAUUUUUGUUUGGUUGACAUCCAUCUGCAAGCUUCGAUGACUUAAGGUAGACCAGAAAAGCCACAUCCCGAAUUGGCAGAUGAGCGGCAACCCUGAUUAGAAGCACCUGCUGCUCAAUGCUGUUUUGAAUUCAAAUAAAAUUGUACCUAAACACUGAAGGCUGUAAAGAAACACAGAGGAUGGUGGCAGUUAUAUUGUCUUAAGAAAGUCGGAGACCUACAAGAUCAACAAGAGAAUGGGUGGAGAUGCAUCAAAAGAUCGAGCGGAUCAGGCAGAGAGAGACCGCGAUCAAGCCAAAACUGAUAAACAGAAAGCGGAGGAGGACAAACAGAAAGCGGAGGAGGACAAACAGAAAGCGGAGGAGGACAAACAGAACAUGGAGAAGGAAAAGAAAAAGACAGAAGAGGAUUACAGGGAGCUCCUAGCUGAGAAAGUGAGAAUGGAAACAGAACAAAAGAUAGAAGAAAACCAAAGACAGAGGCUUGAGAAGGAAAGACUCAAAUUAAUAGAACACAAUAGACAGCGAGAGAAAAAUGAAAAGACAAGAAUUCAGCUGGAAAAUGCAAAAGGAGAUCAGAAAACUGUAUGAAAUGUAUCCACAUAUUAAGAGACAAAGGCAUAAACGGUUAAAUGAUCCACAUAAUGAAUUAUUGGACAAAGCACACAAUCAUUGUAUACCUUUAAUAUCCACAAUUGCGCUGCCUGUUUUAUUUUCCCCAAAUUAUGUGCUUAAAGGGAUAGUUCACACAAAUGACAUAGUGGUUUUAUAACCUGUUAGCUGUUUUUGUUUACCUGGCUGCUGUCGCCAAAUGCUUUUCAAAACCAAUGCCUGUCAAUAUCUGAGAAUCCUCUGUAGCUUUGCAAUAAAUAGAUUCUAUUGA